rnacentral:lncRNA from 1 species
GCUCUCCGGCCCAGGCGCCCGGCUGGUAAGUUCCGCCCCGGGACAGGAAGGGGAGGGCGUCUGGUCUUUCCGUAGGGUUUCCUAGCGCUGGAAGAGGAGGGAAGGCAGCUCGGUGGAUGGGCGAGCUCGCCUCGCCCGCGUGAAGACGUGGGAAUAAAUAUGUGCGUACCCGCCAGCUAAUCAUAGCAUUCAUUCGGGUGAUGGGUCAGAACUUCAAUGUCGUUUUCGAAGCAGGCUUGGGAUACAUGGGACCGUGUCGCAAAAAUAAUGGGCGGAUGAAAAAGCCAGUUCUAGAAAUACCAGUUUGGAAUGCCUUGUACAAGAAAGUAAGGUAACUGUGGGGCGGAGCCUAGAAGGAAUGCUAACAGUGGUGAUGGAUGAGAAUGUGCAAAACGACCCAGGAGCUCUCUUGAAGACUCUACUAGCCAAAUCUGUGAAAUUUCAGUAUCAAAAUAAUAAAGGUAAUAAGAGUAUAACUAAUUGGAGCCCAUGAGAUGGUUCAGAGGUAAAGAUGUUUGCUGCCAAGCCUGUCAACUCUAGUUCAGUCCCCAGAAACCCAGCGGUGGAAGGAAAGGAGUCUGGCAAGUUGUCAUCAGACCUUCACAUGUAUACAGAGACACUUAAUAAAUACAUGGUAAUUUAUUUUAAAACUAAUUAGAUGAACUUGUAACCAA